UACGGAGGGGGCUAGCGUUGUUCGGAAUUACUGGGCGUAAAGCGCACGUAGGCGGCUUUGUAAGUUAGAGGUGAAAGCCCAGGGCUUAACCCUGGAAUUGCCUUUAAGACUGCAUCGCUAGAAUCGUGGAGAGGUGAGUGGAAUUCCGAGUGUAGAGGUGAAAUUCGUAGAUAUCUGGAGGAACACCGGUGGCGAAGGCGGCAUCCUGGACCAAUUCUGACGCUGAGGAGCGAAAGCCAGGGGAGCAAACGGG
rnacentral:rRNA from 1 species